ACGGAAGGCAGCAGUGAGGAAUAUUGGUCAAUGGGCGGAAGCCUGAACCAGCCAAGUCGCGUGAAGGAUGAAGGUAUUAUGUAUUGUAAACUUCUUUAGACGCAGAGAAAUAAGGAGGUCGAGACCUCUGAUGCUAGUAUGCGUAGAAUAAGGAUCGGCUAACUCCGUGCCAGCAGCCGCGGUAAUACGGAGGAUCCGAGCGUUAUCCGGAUUUAUUGGGUUUAAAGGGUGCGCAGGCGGCUUUUUAAGUCAGUGGUUAAAUCGUGGAGCUCAACUCCAUCCCGCCAUUGAUACUGGAGAGCUUGAUUGCGGUCGAGGUUGGCGGAAUUCGUCGUGUAGCGGUGAAAUGCAUAGAUAUGACGAAGAACACCGAUUGCGUAGGCAGCUGACCAGGCCGUAAAUGACGCUCAUGCACGAAAGUGCGGGGAUCGAACAGGAUUAGAUACCCUGGUA
rnacentral:rRNA from 1 species